rnacentral:rRNA from 1 species
UACAGAGGAUGCAAGCGUUAUCCGGAAUGAUUGGGCGUAAAGCGUCUGUAGGUGGCUUUUUAAGUCCGCCGUCAAAUCCCAGGGCUCAACUCUGGACAGGCGGUGGAAACUACCAAGCUGGAGUACGGUAGGGGCAGAGGGAAUUUCCAGUGGAGCGGUGAAAUGCGUAGAGAUUGGAAAGAACACCGAUGGCGAAGGCACUUUACUGGGCUAUUACUAACACUCAGAGACGAAAGCUAGGGUAGCAAAUGGG